rnacentral:rRNA from 1 species
UACGAGGGGGGCAAGCGUUGUUCGGAUUUAUUGGGCGUAAAGGGUGCGUAGGCGGUUUGGCAAGUCUGAUGUGAAAUCUAUGGGCUCAACCCAUAGUCUGCAUCAGAAACUGCCGGGCUAGAGUAUGGUAGAGGAGACUGGAAUUCCCGGUGUAGCGGUGAAAUGCGUAGAUAUCGGGAGGAAUACCUAUGGCGAAAGCAGGUCUCUGGGCCAUCACUGACGCUGAGCUGCGAAAGCUAGGGGAGCAAACAGG